rnacentral:rRNA from 1 species
CCUACGGGUGGCAGCAGUGGGGAAUAUUGCACAAUGGGGGAAACCCUGAUGCAGCGACGCCGCGUGAGUGAAGAAGUAUUUCGGUAUGUAAAGCUCUAUCAGCAGGGGAGAAAAUGACGUUACCUGAUUAAGAAUCCACGGCUAACUACGUGCCAGCCGCCGCGGUACUACGUAGGGGGCAAGCGUUAUCCGGAUUUACUGGGUGUAAAUGGGACGUAGACGGGAGCACAAGUCUGGUGUGAAAUGCCGGGGCUUAACCCCGGAACUGCUGUGGAAACUGUGGAGCUAGAGUGCAGGAGAGGUAAGUGGAAUUCGUGGUGUAGCGGUGAAAUGCGUAGAUAUUAGGAGGAACACCAGUGGCGAAGGCGGCUUACUGGACUGUAACUGACGUUGAGGCUCGAAAGCGUGGGGAGCAAACAGGAUUAGAUACCCCUGUAGUC